GGGAAUAGCUCAGUGGUAGAGCAUAACCUUGCCAAGGUUGGGGUCGAGAGUUCGAAUCUCUUUUCCC
rnacentral:tRNA from 2 species